rnacentral:other from 13 species
GUUAAGAUGUGAUCUUGCUUCCUUAUACAAUUUUGAGAGGUUAAUAAGAAGGAAGUAGUGCUAUCUUAAUAAUUAGGUUAACUAUUUAGUUUUACUGUUCAGGAUGCCUAUUGGCAGCCCCAUAAUAUCCAGGACACCCUCUCUGCUUCUUAUAUGAUUAGGUUGUCAUUUAGAAUAAGAAAAUAACCUGCUAACUUUCAA